UUUUAUAGUGAAACUGCGAAUGGCUCAUUAAAUCAGUUAUAAUUUAUUUGAUAAACCAAUUUACCAUAUGGAUAACCGUGGUAAUUCUAGAGCUAAUACAUGCUUAAGACCCUGACUUCUGGAAAGGGUGUAUUUAUUAGAUAAAAAACCAAUGUAGGCAACUACUUUUUUGGUGAUUCAUAAUAACUUUUCGAAUCAAAAAUAAUUUUUUGAUAUAUCAUUCAAAUUUCUGCCCUAUCAACUAUCGAUGGUAAGGUAGUGGCUUACCAUGGUUUUUACGGGUGACGGGGAAUUAGGGUUCGAUUCCGGAGAGGGAGCCUGAGAAACGGCUACCACAUCCAAGGAAGGCAGCAGGCGCGCAAAUUACCCAAUCCUAAUACAGGGAGGUAGUGACAAUAAAUAACGAUACAGGGCUUUUAUAAGUCAUGUAAUUGGAAUGAGUACAAAUUAAAACUCUUAACGAGGAACAAUUGGAGGGCAAGUCUGGUGCCAGCAGCCGCGGUAAUUCCAGCUCCAAUAGCGUAUAUUAAAGUUGUUGCAGUUAAAAAGCCCGUAGUCGAAUUUUUUAAGGUUUAAUUUUUAAUUUAAUUUUAAUUUUAUUUUAAUUUUAUUAAAAAUACCUUAAUUUCUUUUUUAACUUUUGGGUUAUAAUUUAAUUAAUUUAUUUUAAUUAGUUAUAAUCAUUUUUUAAGUAUUUAUAUUUAAAAGGGUUAAAAAUGAUUACUUUGAAAAAAUUAGAGUGUUCAAAGCAAGCAAUAAUGCAUGAAUAUAUUAGCAUGGAAUAAUGAAAUAGGACUUUGGAUCUAUUUUGUUGGUUUAUAGAACCAAAGUAAUGAUGAAUAGGGAUGGUUGGGGACAUUAGUAUUUAGUUGUCAGAGGUGAAAUUCUUGGAUUUAUUAAAGACUAACUUCUGCGAAAGCAUUUGUCAAGGACAUUCCCAUUGAUCAAGGACGAAAGUUGGGGGAUCGAAGAUGAUUAGAUACCGUCGUAGUCUCAACCAUAAACUAUGCCGACUAGGGAUUAGAUUAUGUAAAUAUAAUUUAGCACCUUAAGAGAAAUCAA
rnacentral:rRNA from 1 species